UGUAUUUCAGUACACCCUCUCAAUGGUCUGUGCCAUCGACUUCGAUUUCCAAGAGGUUGACAUGCCCAUGAUUAGAAAAUGGUGGUGCCUUAUGCUAAUGGAACGAUUUCAAAUUGACGGCUAUGGGCGCAGGUUUGCCUUCUGGACAGACGAGGCAAAAUGCUUAUUAGAGGCAAAAACUCAACCUCUGUAUAGGCUAAAAAGAAGUAGAAGCACCACACAAGAUGUCCCACAGCACGUCCAAGCAGUCAGUCCAAGAUCGGACAAGAACUGAAGAAGCACUGGUGGACUGCAUUGUGACUUCAAAGGGAACAGAGCAGCAUUUAGUGGUACUCAAAUGGUCAUUUUUCACCAUUUAAAGAUUAGCAUUCCUAAAUGACUCACCCAGGGCUGUGAUCAUUGUCAACUUCAACAUUGUCAAUUGAUUAUCCAGUAUGCUCUUUAGCUAUAUUUUUAAUGGUUAUGCCAAUUAUUCAUUGAUGGCUUGUGUAUAUAUA